CAAAAAACAAAAAACAAACAAACAAACAAAAAAAAAACUUGUACAUGUAUUUCUUAUCCAAGUACUAACCAGUUCUGACCUUGCUUAGCUUCUAAAAUGAGAUAUACUGGUCACAUAUCUAAAGUGUACAAUUUGAUGUUUUGACAUAUGUGUAUGUACCUAGAAAGCCACUAUCACAAUUAAGGUGCUGAAUACCCCCAAAAUAUGUCCAUCUCCCACUGCUGUUACUUUUCCUCCAGUUGUUACAAUGCUGGGGACUUCUGGGAAAUUGAGGCAAUGUGAAGGUCCCUUUCACCCUGAUUCUUCUUUUUUUUUGGCACUGGGACCUAGGAGCACUUAGCCAUUGAGACCACAUCCCCAGCCCUUUUUGUGGGGUGCCAGAGAUUGAACUUGAGCAUUCAACCAUUGAGCCAUAUCCCCAUCCCUAUUUUGUAUUUUAUUUAGAGGCAGGGUCUCACUGAGUUGCUUAGUGCUUUGCCAUUGCUGAGGCUGGCUUUGAACUCAUGGUCUUCCUGCCUCACUCUCCCCAGCUGCCGUGAUUAAGGCCUGUGCCACCACACCUGGCCCCAGCCCUUUUUAUAUUUUAUUUUGAGACAGGGUCUCACCAAGUUGCUGAGGGCCUCACUAAGUUGCUGAAGCUGGCUUUGAACAUGCGAUUUUUCUGCCUCAGCCUCGGGAGCAGUUGGGAUUACAAGCAUGGACCACCAUGCCUGGCUCACCCUGAUUCUUUCAGUCAUGACAGAAAGAUUUCAGACAUGUCACUCAGAGUAACAGGCAUGAAUUUAUUAGAAGGAUUAGGAAAGGGGAAAAGGGGACACUGUCAAGGGAGACAGUAGGUCUUUUCAGAGAGAAAGACUGUGUACCUCUCUUGCCCUCAAAUUUUAUUGGGGUCCCAAGGAAGUUUCCAGAGAGUCCCACACAUGUCCAGACUUUCAACUAACAGAAGAUGACAUCAGACUUUCAAGUCCCCACUGCUGUGACAAUUCUAGGUCACUUUAGCCCAUGCUGACUGAUUCUAAUUGGAACCUGUUCUUAUGGAUUUUAUGGUUAGGGGGAAUUAUCUUUAUCUCCCUGAAUUUGGGGAUAUGGUCUGUGUAAGGAUUACAAAAGUCUCCCCUUUCAGCGUAACUUGUUUUCUUCUUAUCAGCAUUUUGGGGCCUGUAUUUCUCCUGCAAAUAAUAGGUAGUUUGCUGAGGAAUGUAACCUAUCCUGUGGACUUAAGGCAGGGCUUCAGGUAAAUUGCUUUUUAAAAAUGAAAGCAUGUGGGGGUCAGCAUAGUGGGCCCAAUAUACAUAAUUAUCCCCUUAACCUCAUGUUCCCACCAGUCUGUCUCCUAAUACAUCCCCCCUGUAAGCCUCCCCUGACUCCCCACUGCCUUCCCACACCAAACUGUUAAGUACUAUGACAGCUUUGGUCAUCAUAGUCCCACCCUGGAGACAACCCAGCUGUCCUUCAGUGAACACAAACAAAUUGUGGUGGACUGACACAUGCAACUACUCACAUUGAAUCCUGAAGGCAUUAUGCUUGGCACAGAGAGUGCCCAGUGUGGGAUUCCAUUUCCAUGAAACCCAAACGUCAGAAGUCAGAACUGUGGGUGCCUUUGGGGAUGGAGUUGUGGCUGAGGAUUGAACCCAGGGCCUCUUGCAUGUUAAGCAUGUGCUCUACCCUGAGCUGCAGCCCUGCCCCUGAGGGUGGGAGUAUUCACUGGCAAGAGGAGGGACCUUUCUGGGGAGAUGUAUGGUGGUUGCUCAGAUGUAUACACAGACAAAAAUCCAUUGCUUAAAAUUUGAGCAUUUUACCGCAUGUACCUUAC
rnacentral:lncRNA from 1 species